rnacentral:rRNA from 1 species
UGAAUACGAGACGCUAAGGCGUCGAAGUAGUGUAUGUCAUACUUCCAAGAAAAGCUUGCACUGUCAUAAGUAAAAAAUGCCUGUACCAUAACCGACACAGGUGGGUAGGUAGAGUAUACUAAGGGGCGCGAGAUAACUCUCUCUAAGGAACUCGGCAAAAUAACUCCGUAACUUCGGGAGAAGGAGUGCCUUAUUCUAUAAGGUUGCAAUAACAAGAUCCAAGCAACUGUUUAUCAAAAACACAGGUCUCCGCUAAGUCGUAAGACGAUGUAUGGGGGCUGACGCCUGCCCAGUGCCAGAAGGUUAAAGAAGUCGGUUAGCAUUAGCGAAGCUGGUAACUGAAGCCCUGGUGAACGGCGGCCGUAACUAUAACGGUCCUAAGGUAGCGAAAUUCCUUGUCGGGUAAGUUCCGACCCGCACGAAAGGCGUAAUGAUUUGGACACUGUCUCGGAGAGGGGCUCGGUGAAAUAGACUUGUCUGUGAAGAUGCGGACUACCUGCACCAGGACAGAAAGACCCUAUGAAGCUUUACUGUAACUUGAAAUUGAAAUUGGACUUUAUUCGCGCAGUAUAGGUGGGAGGUGUUGAUUAUAAUCUUGCGGGAUUAUUGGAGCCAUCAGUGAGAUACCACUCUUGUAAUGUUAGAUUUCUAACUUUGAAUCAUUAUCUGGUCAAAGGACAGUUUCAGGCGGGCAGUUUGACUGGGGCGGUCGCCUCCCAAACGGUAACGGAGGCGUACAAAGGUUUCCUCUGAACGGGUAGAAAUCGUAUCUAGAGUGUAAAGGCAUAAGGAAGCUUGACUGUGAGACCUACAAGUCGAACAGGGACGAAAGUCGGUCUUAGUGAUCUGACGGUACUGAGUGGAAAGGCCGUCACUCAACGGAUAAAAGUUACUCUAGGAUAACAGGCUGAUCUCCCCCAAGAGUUCACAUCGACGGGGAGGUUUGGCACCUCGAUGUCGGCUCAUCGCAUCCUGGGGCGGUAGUACGUCCCAAGGGUUGGGCUGUUCGCCCAUGAAAGCGGUACGCGAGCUGGGUUCAGAACGUCGUGAGACAGUUCGGUCCAUAUCCGGUGUAGGCGUUAGAAUAUUGAGAGGAGCCUUCUUUAGUACGAGAGGACCGAGAAGGACAUACCUCUGGUGUACCAGUUAUCGUGCCAACGGUAAACGCUGGGUAGCUAUGUAUGGAGUGGAUAACCGCUGAAAGCAUCUAAGUGGGAAGCCCACCUCAAGAUAAGUA